rnacentral:lncRNA from 1 species
ACUUAUCCGGCCAACUUGCUAUAUUAUAUUUUGAUUAGGUUGCUUAGUGAUUCGAGUUGACCCAUAUCAUUAAGAUUAAUUAGUAUGACUGAUUUAGGUGCUCUUGAAUUAGCUUAGUCUCUAGUCAUCUUCAAAGACUUGAUGAAGUCAGUAGGAGGGUAGUUGAUUGUUGGUUGAUCUCUUUUCUUCAUUCUAAAAUAAAUAAAUAAAUUUUUUAAAUGAUUAGAUCCUUAAAAUAAUAUAGUUAUGGGAAUAACUAGAUCAUAGCCCUCCAUUAAGGUAGAUGAUAAUCGAUCCAAUAGUCUAGAUAAUCAUUGGAGGCGCCAUACGUUUGGUACUUAUCUGCUAUUAAAAUUAUCAUUCAUAAUAUGAUGACUCAGUUAUGACUUUUUAAUAGGUGGUC